rnacentral:rRNA from 1 species
CACGUAGGGUGCGAGCGUUGUCCGGAAUUAUUGGGCGUAAAGAGCUCGUAGGCGGUGUGUCGCGUCGGCCGUGAAAACCUGCAGCUUAACUGUGGGCUUGCGGUCGAUACGGGCAUCACUGGAGUUCGGCAGGGGAGACUGGAAUUCCUGGUGUAGCGGUGAAAUGCGCGGAUAUCAGGAGGAACACCGGUGGCGAAGGCGGGUCUCUGGGCCGAUACUGACGCUGAGGAGCGAAAGCGUGGGGAGCGAACAGG